rnacentral:lncRNA from 1 species
AGCCUUUGGACGAGGUUGGGGACCACCAAUUGCACUAGGGUUGGCGCCACUCCAAGUUUGGCGUGGAGUCAACAACAGGUUCUUCCUUGGUUUUCCUUGAGAUUGCAGCGUGUGCUUUCUUGAAACUCUUGAUGCUGGUGCCGAACUUGACAAUGAUCAAGUUUGGCGUGGAGUGGUCCAUACAAAAUGGAAGAAAAGGGUAUAUUAUUAUAUAUCGUUGGAAAGCUCUGGAAGUUAGCUUUUCAAUGCCACUUGAAUGACAUCAAUUGGACCUCUGUAACUCAAGUUAUUUCUGUUUGAGUACAAGGAGGUCAGGGUUGACAGCAUCAUUCACUUUCUUCC